rnacentral:rRNA from 1 species
AGCGAACGCUGGCGGCAGGCCUAACACAUGCAAGUCGAACGAACCUUUCGGGGUUAGUGGCGGACGGGUGAGUAACACGUGGGAACGUGCCUUUAGGUUCGGAAUAACUCAGGGAAACUUGUGCUAAUACCGAAUGUGCCCUUCGGGGGAAAGAUUUAUCGCCUGUAGAGCGGCCCGCGUCUGAUUAGCUAGUUGGUUGAGGUAAUGGCUCACCAAGGCGACGAUCAGUAGCUGGUCUGAGAGGAUGAUCAGCCACAUUGGGACUGAGACACGGCCCAAACUCCUACGGGAGGCAGCAGUGGGGAAUCUAGCGCAAUGGGCGAAAGCCUGACGCAGCCAUGCCGCGUGAAUGAUGAAGGUCUUAGGAUUGUAAAAUUCUUUCACCGGGGACGAUAAUGACGGUACCCGGAGAAGAAGCCCCGGCUAACUUCGUG